rnacentral:rRNA from 1 species
UACGUAGGGGGCGAGCGUUGUCCGGAUUUAUUGGGCGUAAAGAGCUCGUAGGCGGUUGGGCAAGUCACGUGUGAAAUCUCCACGCUCAACGUGGAGGCGCCACGUGAGACUGCCCUGACUGGAGUCCGGUAGGGGAGCGUGGAAUUCCCGGUGUAGCGGUGAAAUGCGCAGAGAUCGGGAGGAACACCCGUAGCGAAGGCGGCGCUCUGGGCCGGUACUGACGCUGAGGAGCGAAAGCGUGGGGAGCAAACAGG